UGGGGAAUAUUGGACAAUGGGGGCAACCCUGAUCCAGCAAUGCCGCGUGUGUGAAGAAGGCCUUCGGGUUGUAAAGCACUUUAGGUGGGGAAGAAGGUAUGUUUUUUAAGAGAUGACAUAUUUGACGGUACCCGCAGAAUAAGCACCGGCUAACUCUGUGCCAGCAGCCGCGGUAAUACAGAGGGUGCAAGCGUUAAUCGGAUUUACUGGGCGUAAAGGGCGCGUAGGUGGUUAUUUAAGUGAGAUGUGAAAUCCCCGGGCUCAACCUGGGAACUGCAUCUUAUACUGGAUAGCUGGAGUGCAGUAGAGGGUAGUGGAAUUUCCGGUGUAGCGGUGAAAUGCGUAGAUAUCGGAAGGAACACCAGUGGCGAAGGCGGCUACCUGGACUGAGACUGACACUGAGGCGCGAGAGCGUGGGGAGCAAACAGGAUUAGAUACCCGUGUAGUCC
rnacentral:rRNA from 1 species